CAUGAAGAACGUAGCGAAAUGCGAUAAGUAAUGUGAAUUGCAGAAUUCAGUGAAUCAUCGAAUCUUUGAACGCACCUUGCACCCUUUGGCAUUCUGAAGGGUAUGCUCGUUUGAGUGUCAUUGUACUCUCACACUCCCGAUCUUUGCAUUGGGAGCAGUGGACUUGGGUUUGCUGCUUCACCGUCGCUUACCUCAAAUAGGUUAGUGCAACUCUUGGUUGGACAUAGUACGGCGUGAUAAGUGUUCUUCGCCGGUGCCUCGCAAAGAGGGUGGCCGAUCGGGAUGUUGUGCUCCAAACCGUCUUCGGACAAUCUCUGACGACUUGACCUCAAAUCGAGUAAGACUACCCGCUGAACUUAAGCAUAUCAAUAAGCGGAGGA
rnacentral:misc_RNA from 1 species